ACACAGGCAAGAUUUGAUGACAGUGGAGAGAAAAAAGACACCAUAAUAUUAUAUACAUGAGCAGUUAUAAGCAGAAAUCUGUGUAUCAGCAAUAGUCCUGAUUAUCCUGUAUAGCACAAUCACUUCAUCAUCAAAGAUAUUUAUUUUGUUCAGCCUUCCUAUUUCCCAAACCUAGCAACUCUCAGACUGAUAACCAAUUAUUAAGUAUAAAUUAAUGUAAAUGUAUAUCACAUUCCUGAUCUCCUGACCAUGCUGCUGGUUUAACAUGUUCCCUUCCCGUUCCCUCUCAUGAAUCCUUACUCCACUGCCUUUAUUUUAACCACGGUGAAGCAUUAUGUCUGCAUCAUCACCAACCAUGGCUAAUACCAACCAGAUUUUCCUGUGUAACCAGUUUGAAACUAGGGUGUGAACUGGAUCUGCAAACCCUGGUUAUGAAACUGGUUAGUGUUGAUGCAGAUCUAACACCACGCCAUGCCUAAAGCAAAUAAAAGACAGGAGAGGCUGUGGCUAUGAGAUCAGGAACACUACAACUAUACCAGAAGGAAGCUACGUGUGUGUUCAAGACAAUGGAGUGCUCUCCCAACCAAGUAUUCCCAUAUCUAAAAACAAAAAAGGGGUGUGUUUAGGCACAUGACGUCUAAGACUGACAUACUGCUGAAUUGCUUUAGGAAGCAUACCAUAAAAUGCGCACAACUCCUAUGCUUUUGGUUUAUUUAAACACUCAGACCUAAAUGUAGGUUCCAGUCUUUAGAGUGCAACAGAAGUUUCAGCCAAGAAAAACCUGCACAGCUGAGCCUAGGUAUCUUUAAAAACAAAAAACACAAAAAGAACAUGUGGAUGUUGCUGAAAGUCAGUUUUGGAAGCCUCUCUAUUGAUGUCGCUUUGACUAGAGCUGCAUCUCUUUGUAGGUAUCUAUAGGGCAUCUUCAUACAUCUGAAUGCAGGUUUUCAUAAGGCAUCUCUGCCACUGUUAGUCAGGAACAAUGGGGCCCUAAUCAAGCAUAUGCAUGAUCAAACCAAUGUUUAAAAGCAGUAUAUACAUAUGGUUUGUAGCAAACCAGCACAGGAUAAUGGGCAACUUAAAACCAUGAAUACUUCGUUCCAUCUGUAUUUUAGCUCACACUGCCUCAAUUGGAGUUUGACACAAACAUCUAGCCAAAGCAGAACCACCCUAGAGAAAAAGUUGCAAAGAUAAUUUAUCACUUGUUUCUUUACAUAAACAAGACCGUAGAUGAUGCAGACAUAACAAACAGCGUGCUGCUUGCUGCUGUCAAGCAAUAGUAACUGUACAGCUUAUUACUGGCAAUAUUAAUUUCUAGAAUGAAAGGUGUCCCUGAGCUUAUUGCAAGGUUGUAUUUUGAAAAGAAAAGAAAAACCCUCCCAUUACAAUGGUAUUUCAAUAGCUUAUGAGGUUUGGUCUGACUAUACUUUAAAGUCCUAAAGUGUUGCUGGGCUCAGGAGUGAUUUGGCUGGCCUAAGAUGGACAAGGAGGGGGAAUAGGUGGAUGACAGUGUGAUGAAUGGGGCUGGGGUUGGGGGACAUAGGCUGGAGGGGAACGCUUCCCCCUUCCAGGAUGCAGCUGCACUGGCUGGGGAAGCGGGACCCCCACCUCUCCUCUCCGAGGAAGGGGCACAGAAACAGAAUCCAAGGGGAGGAGUCAGUCCACUCUUAGGGGAAGUUGCCCAGGACCUGGUAGACACAGUGACCAUCUGCAUGUUCAGCAGUCUUGCAAGGCACAAGUCUCACGAAUAAGAACACCUUGCCAGUCUUUGAAAGCUUGGUGAGUGGGUGUGCCAACCCAUUGGGACAAUUCUGUUGCUUCCUUGCAGUUCUGAACUCCUUGCCCUGAUCUUGGACUCCAUAAACCUGGACCACUGCUUCUAGCUUGACUAGCCUAUCCUUUCCUGCCAGCUAGCCUGAGCGUAGCAGAUGCUGUGACUCAUCACCUGUUACUGAGCCUGUAUGUCUUUUCUGCUUUAACAAACAUCUCUUCCUUGCUCUCAUAUAAACUUAGAGUUGGAAGCGGCCCAAGGGUCAUCUAGUCCAACCGCCUGCAAUGCAGGAAUCUCAGCUAAAGUAUCCAUGGCAGAUCCAGCUUCUGCUUAAAAACCUCCAAGGGAGACUGUUCCACUGUCAAACAUCUUACUGUCAGUAAGUUUUUCCAAAUGUUUAGUCAGAAUCUCCUUUCUUGUAACUUGAAGCCACUGCUUCAAGUUACAAGAUGCAGCCUAGAUUAGCAUCAGCUUUUUUUUUGCUGCUGCAUCACACUCUUGACUCAUGUUAAGCUUGUGGUCGACCAAGACCCUUUUCACAUGUACUGCUAGUAAGCCAGGUGUCCCCCAUCCUAUAGUUGUGCACCUGGUUCUUCCUGCCUAAGUACAGAAUCUUACAUUUGUCCCUAUUGAAAUUCAUUUUGUUAGCUUGUGCCCAGUUCUCCAAUCUGUUAAGAUCAUUUUAAAUUAUGAUUCUGUCUUCUGCGGCAUUAGUUACCCCUCCUAGUUUGGUGUCAUCUGCAAACGUGAUGAGCAUCCCUGCAAUUAGUUCAUCCAAGUCAUUUAUAAAGACUCACCACCUGUUACUGAGCCUGUAUGUCUUCUCUGCUUUGAAGAACAUUGGGCAAAAGAUUCCUGCAUUGCAGGGGGUUGGACUAGAUGACUCUUGUGGUCCCUUCCAACUCUCCAAUUCUAUCAUCCUAUGAUUUAUUUUAAACCUUAGGAAUAACUUAAGGGUCAACAAGGGCCAACUGAGGAAACAACCAAAUCAUUAAAGUUCGUCCACUUAAGGCUAAUUAACAGUACUGUGUACAGUUAUUGUACACAGCGUACACCUCUUACCUUAAGGCUGUGAUUCUGUACUUGGGAUACUGUAUUUCCAGGCAUUCAAAAGUGCAAUAAAGAAUACUUGGUAUACUGUAUUUCCAGGCAUUCAAAAGUGCAAUAAAGAAUACCUUCAAGUUACAUGAGCCAUUGUACCUUGUAGGACAAGUACAGCAGGAUAAUACUCUUUUCCUUUGCAUGGUAUUCUUUGCAUGGUAUGUGCUCCUCUUGCACCAAAGCAAACCUCUGGUAAGACACACCAUUUUGAGAAGGUGGAACCAGUCGUUAUUCCAACCCAAAGCAAAACAUUCAUUAAAAUCUACUUGCAUGCAGGUGGAAUAUCAAGGUCUCUUUAUUGAAAAGGUAUCUGCAGGAAUAUCAUACAAAGACAAGGAACCAAAGGGCUGCACACAAUGUCAGGUGUGCAGUGGGAUCCACCCCAUCCCAUUGCAGCACUUGAUGCUGACUGAAAAGCCACCUCUGGAUCUUCCAGAGAGGG